rnacentral:rRNA from 1 species
GACGAACGCUGGCGGCGUGCCUAAUACAUGCAAGUAGAACGCUGAAGGAGGAGCUUGCUUCUCCGGAUGAGUUGCGAACGGGUGAGUAACGCGUAGGUAACCUGCCUGGUAGCGGGGGAUAACUAUUGGAAACGAUAGCUAAUACCGCAUAAGAGUAGAUGUCGCAUGACAUUUGCUUAAAAGGUGCAACUGCACCACUACCAGAUGGACCUGCGUUGUAUUAGCUAGUUGGUGAGGUAACGGCUCACCAAGGCAACGAUACAUAGCCGACCGGAGAGGGGGAGCGGCCACACUGGGACUGAGACACGGCACAGAGGCCUACAGGAGGCAGCAGUAGGGAAUCUUCGGCAAUGGACGGAAGACUGACCGAGCAACGCCGAGUGAGUGAAGAAGGUUGUCGGAUCGUAAAGCUCUGUUGUAAGAGAAGAAAGAGUGUGAGAGUGGAAAGUUCACACUGUGACGGUAUCUGACCAGAAAGGGACGGCUAACUACGUG